rnacentral:rRNA from 1 species
UACAGAGGGUGCAAGCGUUGUUCGGAAUUAUUGGGCGUAAAGGGCGCGUAGGCGGUGCUGUAAGUCUGUAGUGAAAUCUCUGGGCUCAACUCAGAGUCUGCUAUAGAAACUGCAGUGCUGGAGUGUGGGAGAGGUGAGUGGAAUUCCCGGUGUAGCGGUGAAAUGCGUAGAUAUCGGAAGGAACACCAGUGGCGAAAGCGGCUUCCUGGUCCAGCACCGACGUUCAGGCACGAAAGCGUGGGGAGCAAACAGG